ACCAGACUCCUACGGGAGGCAGCAGUGAGGAAUAUUGGUCAAUGGGCGGGAGCCUGAACCAGCCAAGUCGCGUGAGGGACGACGGUCCUAUGGAUUGUAAACCUCUUUUGUCGGGGAACAAAGACGUCCACGGGUGGGCGGAUGAGUGUACCCGAAGAAAAAGCAUCGGCUAACUCCGUGCCAGCAGCCGCGGUAAUACGGAGGGCGCGAGCGUUAAUCGGAAUUACUGGGCGUAAAGCGCGCGUAGGCUGUUGUGUAAGUUGGGGGUGAAAUCCCACGGCUCAACCGUGGAACAGCCCUUGAUACUGCGCGACUUGAAUCCGGGAGAGGGUGGCGGAAUUCCAGGUGUAGGAGUGAAAUCCGUAGAUAUUUGGAGGAACAUCAGUGGCGAAGGCGGCCACCUGGACCGGUAUUGACGCUGAGGCGCGAAAGCGUGGGGA
rnacentral:rRNA from 1 species